rnacentral:rRNA from 1 species
AUUCCAGCUCCAAUAGCGUAUAUUAAAGUUGUUGCAGUUAAAAAGCUCGUAGUUGGAUUUGUGGUGUGGGCUGAUUGUCAUUUUUGACGAUUGGGCUGUGCCAUCUUUGGGUGGAAUCUGUUUGGCAUUAGGUUGUUAGGCAGAGGAUGCCUAUCAUUUACUGUGAAAAAAUCAAAGCGUUCAAAGCAGGCUUAUGCCGUUGAAUGUAUUAGCAUGGAAUAAUACGAUAGGACUUUGGUACUAUUUUGUUGGUUUGUGCAUCAGAGUGAUGAUUAAUAGGGACAAUUGGGGGUAUUUGUAUUCCAUUGUCAGAGGUGAAAUUCUUGGAUUUUUGGAAGACAAACUAGUGCGAAAGCAUUUACCAAGGAUGUUUUCAUUAAUCAAGAACGAAAGUUAGGGGAUCGAAGAUGAUUAGAUACCAUCGU